rnacentral:rRNA from 1 species
AUUGAACGCUGGCGGCAGGCCUAACACAUGCAAGUCGAGCGGAUGAAGGGAGCUUGCUCCUGGAUUCAGCGGCGGACGGGUGAGUAAUGCCUAGGAAUCUGCCUGGUAAUGGGGGAUAACGUCCGGAAACGGGCGCUAAUACCGCAUACGUCCUGAGGGAGAAAGUGGGGGAUCUUCGGACCUCACGCUAUCAGAUGAGCCUAGGUCGGAUUAGCUAGUUGGUGGGGUAAAGGCCUACCAAGGCGACGAUCCGUAACUGGUCUGAGAGGAUGAUCAGUCACACUGGAACUGAGACACGGUCCAGACUCCUACGGGAGGCAGCAGUGGGGAAUAUUGGACAAUGGGCGAAAGCCUGAUCCAGCCAUGCCGCGUGUGUGAAGAAGGUCUUCGGAUUGUAAAGCACUUUAAGUUGGGAGGAAGGGCAGUAAGUCAAUACCUUGCUGUUUUGACGUUACCAACAGAAUAAGCACCGGCUAACUUCGU